GAUGAAGAACGUAGUGAAAUGCGAUAAGUAAUGUGAAUUGCAGAAUUCAGUGAAUCAUCGAAUCUUUGAACGCACAUUGCGCCCGCCAGUAUUCUGGCGGGCAUGCUUGUUCGAGCGUCAUUACAACCCUCAGGCCCCCGGGCCUGGCGUUGGGGAUCGGCGGAGCCCCCCGUGGGCACACGCCGUCCCCCAAAUGCAGUGGCGGUCCCGCCGCAGCUUCCAUCGCGUAGUAGCUAACACCUCGCGACUGGAGAGCGGCGCGGCCACGCCGUAAAACACCCAACUCUUCUGAAGUUGACCUCGAAUCAGGUAGGAAUACCCGCUGAACUUAAGCAUAUCAAUAAGCGGAGGA
rnacentral:misc_RNA from 1 species